CCACACCGCUCACAGGAAGAAAAAAAAACCAGAAAUCGCGGAGCUUCUUCAACCUCUCCUUAGAUCCUUUCAUCGUUCGAUCUCUCUCCGAUUCGAUGCCGUCUCGUAGACGAACCCUCCUAAAAGUCAUCAUCCUCGGAGAUAGCGGGGUGGGGAAGACCUCGCUGAUGAAUCAAUAUGUAAAUAAAAAGUUCAGUAACCAGUACAAGGCUACUAUCGGGGCUGACUUCUUGACCAAGGAAGUACAAUUUGAAGACCGGCUUUUCACAUUACAGAUAUGGGACACAGCUGGACAGGAAAGGUUUCAGAGCCUUGGGGUAGCCUUUUACCGUGGUGCUGAUUGCUGUGUUCUCGUAUACGAUGUCAAUUCCAUGAAAUCAUUCGAGAAUCUCAACAACUGGAGGGAUGAAUUUCUGAUCCAGGCGAGUCCAUCAGAUCCGGAGAAUUUCCCAUUUGUUGUUAUUGGAAAUAAGAUCGAUGUGGAUGGUGGAAACAGUCGUGUGAUUAUCCUGAUCUUGAUCUGGUGAGGGUCGGGUACUUGAGAUUCGGGUACCAUGGAGUGUGAUGAGGGCGAGGUGAGAAAAGAGAGAGGGUGGAGGAGCAAGAGAUGUAUCUGAGGAGCGAACGAUUAAGGAUGAGCGCCGAGCGGCAGAGGCGAUUCUAAGGUUUCAGAGAAAAAAGCUCGAGCAUGGUGCGCCUCCAAAGGAAACAUUCCAUACUUUGAGACCUCUGCCAAGGAAGGCACCAAUGUAGAAG